GCAAGUCGAACGGAGCUGAGGAGCUUGCUUUCAGCUUAGUGGCGGACGGGUGAGUAACGCGUGAGUAACCUGCCUCUGAGAGUGGAAUAACGUUUUGAAAAGAACGCUAAUACCGCAUAACAUAAUUAAGUCGCAUGGCUUGAUUAUCAAAGAUUUUAUCGCUCGGAGAUGGACUCGCGUCCGAUUAGUUAGUUGGUGAGGUAACGGCUCACCAAGACCGCGAUCGGUAGCCGGACUGAGAGGUUGAUCGGCCACAUUGGGACUGAGACACGGCCCAGACUCCUACGGGAGGCAGCAGUGGGGGAUAUUGCGCAAUGGGGGCAACCCUGACGCAGCAACGCCGCGUGAAGGAUGAAGGUUUUCGGAUUGUAAACUUCUUUUAUCAGGGACGAAGAAUGACGGUACCUGAAGAAUAAGCUCCGGCUAACUACGUGCCAGCCGCCGC
rnacentral:rRNA from 1 species